CGGAGGAUCCAAGCGUUAUCCGGAAUCAUUGGGUUUAAAGGGUCCGUAGGCGGUUUAGUAAGUCAGUGGUGAAAGCCCAUCGCUCAACGGUGGAACGGCCAUUGAUACUGCUAGACUUGAAUUAUUAGGAAGUAACUAGAAUAUGUAGUGUAGCGGUGAAAUGCUUAGAGAUUACAUGGAAUACCAAUUGCGAAGGCAGGUUACUACUAAUUGAUUGACGCUGAUGGACGAAAGCGUGGGUAGCGAACAGGAUUAGAUACCCUGGUAGUCCACGCCGUAAACGAUGGAUACUAGCUGUUGGGCGCAAGUUCAGUGGCUAAGCGAAAGUGAUAAGUAUCCCACCUGGGGAGUACGUUCGCAAGAAUG
rnacentral:rRNA from 1 species